UACGUAGGUUUCGAGCGUUAAUCGGAAUUACUGGGCGUAAAGCGUGCGCAGGCGGUAAUGUAAGACAGAUGUGAAAUCCCCGGGCUUAACCUGGGACCUGCAUUUGUGACUGCAUUGCUGGAGUGCGGCAGAGGGGGAUGGAAUUCCGCGUGUAGCAGUGAAAUGCGUAGAUAUGCGGAGGAACACCGAUGGCGAAGGCAAUCCCCUGGGCCUGCACUGACGCUCAUGCACGAAAGCGUGGGGAGCAAACAGG
rnacentral:rRNA from 1 species